GCUAAUGACGUCAUAGGCCCGGACUCGCGUGAGUGCGCGUGCGUUGGGGCCUCAGCCUUUAUCUCCACUCUGCGGAGAUUCACGCCUGGAAAACGCUCUUCUGAGAGGAUCUGUGGAGGUCAACCCAGGAGAGAGAAGACAGGACUGAAGCACUGAAAGGGUCCUGCCGUUAAGGGCGCAGGAUUGUAUAGAAUAUAUAAUAGCAGUAGCAGCUCUGUUUACGGAGCAUUAACCUUACGUGGAGUUAUUUCCUGCAUUUCCUCCUUUCGUCUUUACAAGGUAGCCGUUUGGCGUCGUGAGAGAUUGGGUCUCUCCACAUUGCCCCGGCUGCUCUCCAACCCCUGAGUUCAAGUGAUUCACCUCCCUUGGCCUCCCAAAGUACUGGGAUUACAGGCGUGAGCCACCGUGCCUGGCUGAGAAGAUGGAUUUAAGACAUAUUUUGGAGCGGAAAGUGACCAGAAGAGGUGUGCAGUUUCCAGGCCUGGCCCAUACAGACCUCCAACAGGUGCUCCCCUGUGCUGUUACUCCUUCUGCCAACUGGAAGCAGAUGGUGACCAGGCUCUGGAGAAGGCAAGGCCUGAAGAUGGGAGAUUCCUAAGUGGAGGAGAACUGUGCCUUACUGACCUAAAUAUCCACUCAGUAUUGUUAUGUGAGAAUAAAUAAACUUGUGUUGACCGUUUACUUAC
rnacentral:lncRNA from 1 species